UACGAAGGGGGCUAGCGUUGCUCGGAAUCACUGGGCGUAAAGCGCACGUAGGCGGAUCGUUAAGUCGGGGGUGAAAUCCCGAGGCUCAACCUCGGAACUGCCUUCGAUACUGGCGAUCUUCGAGUCCGGGAGAGGUGAGUGGAACUCCGAGUGUAGAGGUGAAAUUCGUAGAUAUUCGGAAGAACACCAGUGGCGAAGGCGGCUCACUGGCCCGGUACUGACGCUGAUAUACGAAAGCGUGGGGAGCAAACAGG
rnacentral:rRNA from 1 species